rnacentral:lncRNA from 1 species
GGGCUGGGCAGCAGCUCAAUGGCAAAACCGCAAAGUGCUUGCCUCGCAUUCCCAACUGGAACUGUGUGCCUGGGUGUUUCUGAGUAUAAUCAGGCAAGAGCCUGUAGGGACUUGCUGGUGAUAACAAGGAGGAUCAUCAAGAAAUAGUCAUGGUAAGAAAUGUUUUUGUUCUCUCUUCUGUUUUAUGCUGCCAUUCACUCAUUCGUUCAUUUAUUUGUUCCAUGGACUGAUUGAGUUUAUUUUAUGUGCCAGGUGCCACAGUCAUAGCAUUUGUGCUUGUGCUUGAUAGAUAACAGGUUACCAUUGGCCCACAAAUGGACAUAUGUGUUCUAAAAGAUUUCUGCUCUAGAGCAUGUGAUUGCACAGUUAGAAAUUUCAUUGCUUUGAGACUUUCCUUCCUCAUGCCAAAUACUCUUGAGUAAAUGAUGAAAUAUUGAGAAAGUGGUUUGAUUUUUUUUUCCACCUUCCUCAGUGCCAUUGUUAGUACAAGAAAUAUUGUUUCUUUCAUUCUAAUAUUCAUAAUGGUUUUAGAGAAUUGAAAUCUUCUGCUUUCCUUGAUUUCUGUUGUUAUUAAGUGCAGAGCUCUAUCUACUUAGGUGUGGUCUCUCCUAUACAUUAGAUUCCAUAGUGUUUAGAUUAUCUAUAGAUCAUAAAAUAAAAAUCUGAGUAAAUGGAGAAUAAUUUUUACACAAUACUUACUUUUCUACUUUAUGUGCUUAAACUAUUCUUAUUUCUUUACAUAUUUGAAAUUUCAUAUGUUUCCCAUAAAAUAACUGAAUUGAGUUUAUUAUUCACAAAUAUGAUUUUACAUACUGUCUGUGAUUGCAGUGUUGAGAUGCAUUGUAGUAUAGUUAGUGACUUGAAUACAAGUAUUUUUCCACUGGUUCAAAAAUUUAGCAGUUAGAAAAACAGUACAUUCCAUUUGUGCAUGCCUGAGCGUUUCAAUAAAGUAAUUUUGUCAUAGACAAACUGGCUGGGGUUACGUAGGAGAAAAUGUUAAACUUUCCCUUAGCUUUCACAUAAUUUUCAACAACUGGGUGGUUAAAAUAUGAUUGUUGGUGUCUGAGUCAAGGCAUGUGCAUUCUUCAAAUGCUUGUAAUGACUGAUGGGAUUAGUAAUUUGGUAUUCUAAGAAUGGAACUCUUAUCUGCCCUCAAAGAAUAGAUAGUACCAAUGGGCUAUUCUAAUAUGGUAUUGGAGCUUUUAAUAUGUUUUUAUAGUUUUGGUAAAGUUAUGCUAAACAAUUAUUUCUUAGGAAACCAUUACCAGGAAAAUGCAAUAGAAUUGUUUGUAUGUACAUCUUUUGGUAUGGUAUGAACUAUAAAAUGUUCUUACUGCCUUUUAUUUAUCAGUUUAUCCAUAAUCAGCUGCUUCCUAAAUUGUGUCAGAUUACAUUUAAUAAAGUUCAAAAGACUAGUUAUAAAUUCCAUCCAUAACACUGUAUGUUUAAUUAGCAGCAAUUUAUUGAGCAAAAGGUUUAGUCUGAUUAGGAGUCUUUAGGGGAAAAGGAAUUUAAUUAAAAGAUAUUUUCAGUAUCAGUUGGGCUAUGCACUAGAGACACAUCAGUGCCACACUCUGAGCCAUGUGGUAUUUUCUUCUUUUUAGGUUAUUUUUAAAAGUAGAUUAUUGGGACAUUCCUACUAUUGUUAUGACACCUGGAAAUACAUUCAGUAAAUACAUUUAUUGAUUUGAAUUGUUUUUUUUCUCCAAGGUCAUGUUAAAUGUAAUUACAGUGAAGUUUGGUAAAGGUUGCCUUACUUUGAUUAGGCCUUUACUGAAUGAACAUCUGCAGUGUGUCAAUCACAAGAAGAAACAAGAUUCUCCUGCACAUCUUUCUUACUUUCUCUGUGGGGGAGAUACAUUAAACUAUAGUGGUAGCUAAAAACCAAAAAUGGGUGUGUUUGUUCAGAUGAUUUCCCUGUUUAAAUACAGAGAACAAUAUAAAGUUAAAAUAUUUCAGCUAAAGUAAAUUACUAAGACCUCAACUUUUGCCGCUCACUGCCUUUCUGAUUGGUUCGUAAAAACCAUAUGUAUAUUUCAGUGUGGGCAGAUGUAACUGUUAGUUAUACACCAGUCAGCAGCCCUUGUUGUUUUUGCACAAAAAUACGUUGCUUUCCCUUCUGUAUAUCUGAUGCUUUCUGCCUCUCUCUAUGUGUGAGAGACAGAGAGAAAGAAAGAUCCAUACAUUAAAUCACUGGCUAAGUUUCUGUUGAACCUUCUUGGUAUCAGUGACAAGUUCAGAGCUACCUUUUUUAAAACUCAAGCUACUCCAGAUGAUGAAGUAUGUUUCUAAAUUUCCUAUGGUUGGUAAAGAGCAAGGUUGUCAUAUAUACUGUAAAAAACAACAACAACAAAAACAGGUAAAUAACAGAAAUCUCUAUACUGAAUAGGGAGGUCAAGGAAGGCCUCACCAUCACACUCUCUAAGCAGGGCCGUUCAGGUAAAACCUAAAUGAAUGAGUAAAGAAAUGAAUGGAGAAGAUGGAGAAACAGCUAGGGAAGGCGGUUCUAGGAAAGGACACACCAAAUUCAAAGGCCUGAGAGAAUGUUAAUUUCUUUAGUUGAAGCCUUGCCUAUUUGAAGCUUUUCUGGCAAAAUAAAAUUUCACUAUAGAAAAUAAGAGAAAUAUGGGGCUGGGGUUGUGGCUCAGUGGUAGAGUGCUCACCUAGCACGUGUGAGGCACUGGGUUUGAUCUUCAGCACCACAUAAAAGUAAAUGAGUAAUAUAAAGGUUAAAAAAAAAAGAAUGCUUAAAAAAAAGAAAAGAGAAAUAUAUGUCAAUGGGCGAAUAUAAAUUUUGGGGGGUGGAGAGGUAGCUGCCAAGGGUUACCAUGGUAUCCCAUGUCUUGCCAGGCCAGUCUGUCACAGUUUUGAAAGAUAAAGAUGAUGUACGGGAUAGAAUGAGAAAAGCAUCCCUGAGUUCUAAUGACUGCCUAAAAAUCAUUGAGAGAGAACCUGGGAUCAUUGGCUCAUUUAAAUAGAGACAGUCCGGAUAUUAGUGUCUGAGCAGCCUGGCAGAAGCUGCAGGACUCCAUCCUUAGGCCAGAGUUCAGUCCAGAGCUGCAGGUUCUAGAAAAACCCUGGCUUCCUCCCUGUUGCAGACUGAGGGACCGCCUUGGGGUCUGGACACAGAGCCAGGGAGACUUAAUGAAAACCAGGCUGGGUCUGGCCUCAAAAAAUUGUCAUGGAUUUUUGGAAAACGUAUUAAAGGAAGGAAAUGAAGACUGUAGAGGAAGUGUUUACUGUUAAUUAUGUGGAGAAAGAAGUGCUGGACUAAUUCCCUGGUUUGCACAUCACUCUAAGCAGUUCUAGUCUAUGAAGUACCAUACUGAUUGCAAACCUAGAGGAAAAUUAAUUUAAGAACACAAUUAAGUAGCUUGUUUUGGGGAAGCAUAAUAGUUCUUUGGGGGGAAAAUAAGUUUAGUACUAUAAAUUCUGCAUAUUUGUUUAUGAAACCAAAAUGGAUGGAAGGCUUACGGAUGGAUCUAUCCUAAAUACUCUCAUACUACCUUGAUCUAUGCAAAAAAGCUACAGGAAUUGCUGGUUUCUUGAAAAGACACACAAUUAUGGGAUUUUUUUUGGAGUUGAGGUUAUAGCUAAAUAUAUAUAGCAUAGCCUGGAAAGGUUUAAAGAAAAUUAAGCAAAACAAUGUGUCCUACUAGUUUAUUCGUCAGCUGCAGCACUAUUGACAUUUUAGACCAGAAAAUUUUUGUCUUGGGGGUCUGUCCUACGCAUGGUAAGAUGUUUAGCAGCAUCCCUGUUCUCUACCACCAGAUGCUAGUAACGCUUUCUCCCUCUAAGUUGGGAAAACCAGAAGUAUCUCCAGACAUUGCCAGAUGUGUCCUUGGGAACAAAAUUGCCCCUACUUGAGAACUACUGACUAGAAGAUAAAUUGGGCUGAAAAAGGUUAUGAAGGAACUAUUGUUGGAAUCCUCAGUACACCAAAUAUUGAAAGUAAUGGACAGCUCUCUUGAAUCUUAAUGUAAAUUCUCCCAGUGAAUUGAAAUCUUCCUUUUCAUAAUUAAUUAGAUCGCUAUGAAUUUGCAAAUGCAAAUAUAUUCCAGAAGGCUUUUGAGGAACUAUUGGAAAAUCAUUAACUCAGAUGCUUUAUGGAGAGACAACCAUGUCUUUCCAAAACAUAUUUCCAGUUCAGACAACAGAAUGAGUUUUGGCUUUAGGUACAAAAUGAUAUUUCUUCUGUUUCUUGUAGUCAAAUUUCUGAAAAACAUGCCUUAUUUUAGAUGGAUUAAAAUGAAACAGGAAACAGUUGAUGGUUCCAUUCAAAUAUUAAUGUCCUCUGCAUUUCUGCUUAAUUUCAAAAUAUCAUUUUAAGAUAUUUUUGUUUCUCUUUGUCCAGCUACUAUUAUUAUGUCUCAUAUCCUCUAACAUGUAUUUUUUUCCCUCUUUCAGGAAAUAUUGGAAAUUCUUUUAUGAUUGAUCCCAUCUUGGGCUCUAUAAAAACUGCCAAAGAAUUAGAUCGAAGUAACCAAGUGGAAUAUGAUUUAAUGGUGAAAGCUACAGAUAAAGGCAGUCCACCAAUGAGUGAAAUGACUUCUGUGCAUAUCUUUGUCACGAUUGCUGACAAUGCUGCUCCUAAGUUUACAUCAAAAGAAUACUCUGUUGAAAUUAGUGAAAUUACCAGCAUUGGGAGUUUUGUUGGACUAGGAUCCAAUCCAAGGUGGGAAUGUCAAUAGAA